rnacentral:rRNA from 1 species
AGCGGGUGACAGCCCCGUAGGCGAACCCUGUGACGGCCGGGCGGGAUCCUGAGUAGGGCCCACCACGUGGAAGUGGGUCCGAAGCGGGGAGGACCAUCUCCCAAGGCUAAGUACUCCCUGGUGACCGAUAGCGGAGAGUAGCGCGAGCGAACGAUGGGAAGAACCCCGUUGAGGGGAGGACAGUGACCCUGAAACCACACGCCUACAAGCGGUGGGAGCCCGACG